rnacentral:tRNA from 1 species
GCCGCCGUAGCUCAGUUGGUUAGAGCAUCUGCCUUGUAAGCAGAGGGUCGAGGGUUCGAAUCCCUCCGGCGGCU